GUCUCAAAGCUGCCUAGGUGUUUUCUGUGCUCCACAAUUCCUGCUGGGUGGGAGAGAACAGAUUAAAAUGAUCAGACACAGAGCUAUUUUGAAAGCAGAAGCAAGUCUGCCUUUCAGCCCUGCAGUGACCGGUCAUUCAGUGUGUUCUUCCUUUGCUAUAGGCUCCUGUAGUUACUUUUGAACCUUUCUUGCCCUGUGGGUGACAAGGCAUCUUCUUUUUGGACAUUCUUGAGAUCUUCAAAUCAGGCUCAUGUAAGCAAGAGUUUUGCCUGGAUGCAGAAAUCUGCGGUUCUUGUGACAUUUUUAGGCACAUCAACUGGUUCACACAGCCCUUUAGAACAGACCCGAGGCUGCAGCACAUCCUUCAGUGCCUGGGCACUUGCACCAUGGUAGGGGCUUAGCAGUGGAAAUUUUUCUCUUUCCCAGCAGGAAAACAAAGCUUUUCUCUUGACUGAGCUCUCAUGCAGUGCUGACAGCACUGGCUGGGGCGCUGCCAAAGAACAAAGGGCAAUAUUGUCUUUAAAAAGCAGAGAGCACAUUAAAAGUUUCUAAGCUCUGUUUGUGAAAAUCUCGGAGUCGCUUGAUCAGGAGCUCAGAAUUGGUCUGACUUCUUCCAGCCUCCCCACUUCACCCUCGUCUGUGCGAUAUUGCAGCUGCUCUGAGGAAAAACAGUUAUUUAAAAAUGUGCUUGUAGCUAUGGCAACCUUCAUGCACUGCGUUCAACCAAAACUCUGAAACAGCAGCAGAAGUUUCUUAGCAGGAGACAGGAGGAACUGUGUGCAGAAGAGAGUGCCCUGGUUUGCGGUGGGAAGCUGGUGUGAGGAAUUAAAGCUCCUGUUGUGACAGAAAUGACAACAAAAGCAGAAAGCUUCCUCGUGCAGAAGGAAAACCCGUCAACUGAGACAUUCAGAGAUGAUACACUGGUAUUGAACAAUGACUUUCACACUCAUUUCCAAAGUGCCGUUAUGGAAGCAUAGGUCAGGCUUUUGAAGCUUCCUUGCCAAAGGCUGCCUGGCAAGGUUUCUUCCCACCACUGCAGCUGACUGGCAGGAUUUGUUUCCACCUACGCUUUAGCAUAACGGGCACAUAAAGUACAGCGAAGAGAAAACAAAUCCUCUUCAAUGCCAUCCCCUCCCGUUCCAAAAUCCUGGGGAUUUUGUAUGCCCAUUGCACAUAACAAGGAAAAUCAACUCAAGGUUCCCUGUGGCAGGGGUCAUCAGAGCCAUACUGUCUGUCAGGCUCUGGGAGCUGCCUGCAUUACAGCAUAGUUUCCCCACCAUUUAACAUCAUCACUGCAACCUCCCACUGCCGUCACCCAUCUCCAAAGGGCUGUUAUUGCCCAGUCUUCAGAUGCUGGGAUAAGCAAAUAUCUCAAGCUGGGAAGUCUGGUAUUGGUACAUUACAGGAAAAUCUCUCAACCUUAAAAUUGCUUAUGGUAAAAAGCUCCAACGUACAGAUAUCACUGUCUAACACACCAAACCACCUCAGGAGUUUAGGAAUAAAUGUGGCAUACACUGAUGUGAAUGUUUAUGGGGUGAGGGAAGACUGGCACAAAAUACAAAGAAGCUGUGUUUGAAGGAAAUGCAUCUUAACAUAAAGGUAUUCUAAUCUUUACCCUUCAGUAUUUAAGUCAGUGCAGCCAUUAUUAAAGCAAUUAAAAUGCAAUUACUUUUUCAUCUUUAUUUUGGUUCUUGGAUAAUUAAAGCCCCUUUACAUCAAGGGUGAUCCAUAAAGGAAGGCAUUUUGCAUGUGAAAAGCUGCAAAGGGUGGAAGACUUUGGGGUAUCAGCAGUGAGCAGCAAGCAACUGAGAUUGUUAAUGCUACAGUAAGCUGCCUCCUUUUGCAUCUCUAUGGGAUCAUGGAAAGAGGCCACUUGCUGGAUUUCUGUACUUUGUCUUGAUUAAAUGGCUGUUUCAGUUUGAUAUUCACUCCUUUCAUACUUGUAAUCACUUUAAGAUUUUCAUUUUAUAGUAUUCACUUAUUUAACUGCUUGUUUCCUGCCAAGUCUAAAAAAAGAAAGGCUUUUCCCUCCCUUCUCCUUGCCGCAAUAAA